ensembl:lncRNA
CCCAAGGCACUUAUUGUAAGUGUAGGGUUGUUAACUCCGGUGUUCUGGCUAAAUUCCCAAUCUGGCCCUCAAACCAUCACGGUCACCUAAUAAUCCCCAGUUUACUUUCCCCUGUAACUAUUCCCCAGGUCGUUGCUGUAAAUGAGAAUGUGUUCUCAGUCUACUUACCUCGUAAAAUAAGUUUGCAGAUGACACAACAGUGGUAGGCCUGGACAACAACGAGACAGUCUGUAGGCAGGAGGUCAGUGACCUGGCUGUGUGGUGCCACAACAACAACCUCUCCCUCAAUGUGAUCAAGAUAAAGUAGAUGAUUGUGGACUACAUGAAAAGGAGGACCAAGCAUGCCUACAUUCUCAUUGACGGAUCAGGUUGAGAGCUUCAAGUUCCUUGGUGUCCACAUCAUCAAAUUAAAUUUAUUUAUAUAGCCCUUCGUACAUCAGCUGGGUUUCUGUAAAGCACUUUGUGACAUCGACUGAUGUAAAAAAACAUUUGAUUGAUUGAUUGAUCACCGGAGCCAAGCUUCCUGCCAUCGAGGACCUCUAUAACAGGCAGUGUCAGAGGAAGGCCCUAGAAAUUGUCAAAGACUCCAGCCACCCUAGUCACAAACUGUUCUCUCUGCUACCGCAUGGCAAGCGGUACCGGAGCUCCAAACCUAGGUCCAAGAGGCUUCUUAAAACAGCUUCUACCCCCAAGCUAUAAGACUCCUGAACAUCUAAUCAAAUGACUACCCAGACUUUUCGCAUUGCCCCCCCCCCCUCUUUUACGCUGCUGUUACUCCUGUUAUUAUCUAAGCAUCUACAUGUACAUAUUACCUCAAUUACCUUGACUAACCUGUACCCCUGCACAUUGACUCUGUAUUGCUAUAUAGUCUCACUAUUGUUAUUUUACUGAUGCUCUUUAAAUACUUGUUACUUUUAUUUCUUAUUCUUAUUCACAUUUUUUAUACUGCAUUGUUGGUUAAGUGCUUGAAAGUAAUCAUUUCACUGUAAGGUCUACACCUUUUGUAUUCGGCGCAUGUGACUAAUAAUGUUUGAUUUGAUAAAAUGCAAUUGUGUUAAUUUUUCUUAGCUUAUGUGUGCCCAUACCAUAACCCCACCG